GACAGAGGGUGCGAGCGUUGUUCGGAAUUACUGGGCGUAAAGCGCGCGCAGGCGGAUCCUGCAAGUCGGAGGUGAAAUCUCACUGCUCAACGGCGAGACUGCUUCUGAUACUGCGGAUCUGGGGACCGGUAGAGGCUGGUGGAAUUGCAGGUGUAGCGGUGGAAUGCGUAGAGAUCUGCAAGAACACCCGUGGCGAAGGCGGCCAGCUGGGCCGGAUCCGACGCUGAGGCGCGAAAGCGUGGGGAGCAAACAGG
rnacentral:rRNA from 1 species